ensembl:lncRNA
GCAUUCUGCAGACAAUAUUGAUGCAGUCAAGUCUCUUUUGGAUCAAAUAAUAAUAUGUGUUGAUGAGGCAAAACAACAUCAUUUAUCAUUUGUGUCACUGGACAUACCUCAGGAUGAGAAGGAGAAACAAGAUAAAUAUUUUGAACAAAAGGAGAAGUGUUUUUCAAGCUUUAUUGAUGACGUCAAAGGCUGGUUAUCAAAUGCAGGCCAUUCAUAUGAACUUCCAAUUAAACCACCUGAUAAUCAAACUGAUAUUGGGCCUGAGGACAGUGUAUCCAAUAAAGGUUCUGCAGCGCGUUCAAAGGCUGGCUCUAAAUUGUCAAGGAUUUCAUCCAGUGCAUCUGCAAAAAUAUUAGCGCAAGCAGAGAGAGCAGCAUUACAGGAGCGCAUGGCUGCUCUAAAACAAAAGCACAGUUUGGAGGCGCAGGAGGAACAAAUAAGACUUGAACAAGAGGAAUUACGGAAGAAACGGGAACAUUUAAGGAGAGAAAAGGAACAUUUAAGGAGAGAAAAGGAACAACUUGCUCUGGAGGCAGAAUUAAAGAUAUGGAGAAUCCGAAGAUGUGAAGAUUCCAGUUUAAUGCUUAAGCUACAAUUAGAAAAUAGCUCCUUUGUGUUAAAGCUAAGGUUAAUUGUGGGUAAAGUACCGUUACAAUUAGGGGCUGGGUUGUUGGAGCUAUAUUUUUAUUUUUGUUUAUUUUGGGUUUAAGUUAAUUUAUAGCCUUACUUAUUUCUUUUUCUUUUCCUGUUAAAGUUAAUUUGGUGUAUUUUGUAUUUAUGCUUUACUCGUAUUGUCGUUUAUUGGUCAC